GAUGAACGCUGACAGAAUGCUUAACACAUGCAAGUCUACUUGAAUUUGGGUUUUUUCACUUAGAUUUGGGUGGCGGACGGGUGAGUAACGCGUAAAGAACUUGCCUCACAGCUAGGGACAACAUUUGGAAACGAAUGCUAAUACCUGAUAUUAUGAUUAUAAGGCAUCUUAGAAUUAUGAAAGCUAUAUGCGCUGUGAGAGAGCUUUGCGUCCCAUUAGCUAGUUGGAGAGGUAACGGCUCACCAAGGCGAUGAUGGGUAGCCGGCCUGAGAGGGUGAACGGCCACAAGGGGACUGAGACACGGCCCUUACUCCUACGGGAGGCAGCAGUGGGGAAUAUUGGACAAUGGACCAAGAGUCUGAUCCAGCAAUUCUGUGUGCACGAUGACGUUUUUCGGAAUGUAAAGUGCUUCCAGUUGGGAAGAAAAAAAUGACGGUACCAACAGAAGAAGUGACGGCUAAAUACGU
rnacentral:rRNA from 1 species